rnacentral:rRNA from 1 species
CCGUACACAAAAGCGCAUGUGCUGUGAGCUCGAUGAGUAGGGCGGGACACGUGGUAUCCUGUCUGAAUAUGGGGGGACCAUCCUCCAAGGCUAAAUACUCCUGACUGACCGAUAGUGAACCAGUACCGUGAGGGAAAGGCGAAAAGAACCCCGGCGAGGGGAGUGAAAAAGAACCUGAAACCGUGUACGUACAAGCAGUGGGAGCCCCACCACUAAGCCAGUGGUGAACUCCACAUCCGCAUCCUUUGCUGAGGAUACGGUUAACGGAGCGAAAGCGACGUUCAACCGCAAAACAAGCAGAGGGGGCUUAGUGGUGGGGUGACUGCGUACCUUUUGUAUAAUGGGUCAGCGACUUAUAUUCUGUAGCAAGGUUAACCGAAUAGGGGAGCCGGAGGGAAACCGAGUCUUAAUUGGGCGUUAAGUUGCAGGGUAUAGACCCGAAACCCGGUGAUCUAGCCAUGGGCAGGUUGAAGGUUGGGUAACACUAACUGGAGGACCGAACCGACUAAUGUUGAAAAAUUAGCGGAUGACCUGUGGCUGGGGGUGAAAGGCCAAUCAAACCGGGAGAUAGCUGGUUCUCCCCGAAAGCUAUUUAGGUAGCGCCUCGUGAAUUCAUCUCCGGGGGUAGAGCACUGUUUCGGCUAGGGGGCCAUCCCGGCUUACCAACCCGAUGCAAACUGCGAAUACCGGAGAAUGUUAUCACGGGAGACACACGGCGGGUGCUAACGUCCGUCGUGAAGAGGGAAACAACCCAGACCGCCAGCUAAGGUCCCAAAGUCAUGGUUAAGUGGGAAACGAUGUGGGAAGGCCCAGACAGCCAGGAUGUUGGCUUAGAAGCAGCCAUCAUUUAAAGAAAGCGUAAUAGCUCACUGGUCGAGUCGGCCUGCGCGGAAGAUGUAACGGGGCUAAACCAUGCACCGAAGCUGCGGCAGCGAACGUAUCACCCAAGACAACUUUACGGAGUUGACGAUUGACGGAGCGAAGCGACGUCAAAGCGUUCAUUAAAGUCGAGUUGGCUUAGGGAUACGUUCGUUGGGUAGGGGAGCGUUCUGUAAGCCUGUGAAGGUGUGUCGUGAGGC